CGGGGUGUAGCGUAGUCUGGUAGCGCGCCUGCUUUGGGAGCAGGAUGUCGGGAGUUCAAAUCUCUCCACCCCGACCA
rnacentral:tRNA from 2 species